UUGGGAUCGCUUUUCCCCUUUAGACUGCAACUGCAGUAUUUCUGUGUAGCUUAGUUACUUUGCAUGAGAAAAUUCCAGCUGAUGACUUUAUCUACAAGGCACAAAAUCACAUUAUACAUCAGCUGUAAAUAUUGUGAAGUCAAACAACUUUUAUUUGAUUUAUCCACAGUAGGAGAAAAGAGAAACACAUGUCUAAAGUGAUUCUUUGGAGUUAAUAUCAGAAGUGCCAGAAGAUCAUCUAAUAUGCAGUUCAUCAUGUAGUGAUUUGAACAGCAUUUGGGAGCCUCAUGUGACUUCAUUGAAGGAACACCUAUAAACAAACACUGCUUAAAGUGUUUUGCCUAUGAGCUAACAAUGUCAGUGAUGUCUACAGAGAGCUAAAGCCACUCGAAGAAUCCACAGCAACUUCUUUUGGUCAGUGAACACAGGGUGAAAUUCAACAGAACUGCUUUACAGUGAAGGUCUUGAAGCCCACAAGAAACAUUCUUCUGGACAAAUUAUCGGGAGGUCAAGAGAAGAAUGCAUUUGCCAGACCAAUAGCUGCAUAUCAAGUGCCAGAGGAUGUGGUAAAUUGCUCAAGCAAUGAAACCGGUUCUGGUACCGGAGCUGCAAUUGGCAUCACCACCUGGGACUUUGCCAACAAUGUUGAACAGAGUGGUCUAAAUAUCUGUUGCCUGGCUACUCGUGUUGUUUUGCCAAAUAUUUGGGCCUCCGUGUGUUUUGAUUUUGCUCAGAUGGGCGAAGGGGAUCAGAUGGAUUUGAGAACUGUGUCUCUCUUGAGUCUACAAGAGUCCUCGGGAGAUCAGAAGAAAAACAGCCUGCUCAUUUCUGGGAAUACAAAGUUCCAGAAAAACAGGCUACAUGGUACUAACAAAGGCAGCCUUGCU
rnacentral:lncRNA from 1 species